GAACUGAAGAGUUUGAUCCUGGCUCAGAUUGAACGCUGGCGGCAUGCUUUACACAUGCAAGUCGAACGGCAGCAUGGGCUUCGGCCUGAUGGCGAGUGGCGAACGGGUGAGUAACACAUCGGAACAUAUCCAGGAGUGGGGGACAACCAGUCGAAAGAUUGGCUAAUACCGCAUACGAUCUGAGGAUGAAAGAGGGGGACCUUCGGGCCUCUUGCUUUUGGUUUGGCCGAUGGCUGAUUAGCUAGUUGGUGGGGUAAAGGCCUACCAAGGCGACGAUCAGUAGCUGGUCUGAGAGGACGAUCAGCCACACUGGGACUGAGACACGGCCCAGACUCCUACGGGAGGCAGCAGUGGGGAAUUUUGGACAAUGGGGGCAACCCU
rnacentral:rRNA from 1 species